rfam:Hymenobacter mucosus strain DSM 28041 genome assembly, contig: Ga0170424_101
UUUUUAUACAGAGGCGUGGAGAGACAGGCUCUACGAAACGCCGGCAACCCUCAGAGUAUCUGAAACGGUGCCAAGUCCUGACCAUAUAAAAA